CGUGUGGUCUUAUUUCGUUGGUUUCUAGGACCGCCGUAAUGAUUAAUAGGGACAGUCGGGGGCAUCAGUAUUCAAUCGUCAGAGGUGAAAUUCUUGGAUCGAUUGAAGACUAACUACUGCGAAAGCAUUUGCCAAGGAUGUUUUCAUUUAUCAGGAACGAAAGUUAGGGGAUCGAAGACGAUCAGAUACCGUCGUAGUCUUAACCAUAAACUAUGCCGACUAGGGAUCGGACGGUGUUAUUUCUUGACCCGUUCGGCACCUUACGAGAAAUCAAAGUGCUUGGGCUCCAGGGGGAGUAUGGUCGCAAGGCUGAAACUUAAAGAAAUUGACGGAAGGGCACCACCAGGGGUGGAGCCUGCGGCUUAAUUUGACUCAACACGGGGAAACUCACCAGGUCCAGACACAACGAGGAUUGACAGAUUGAGAGCUCUUUCUUGAUUUUGUGGGUGGUGGUGCAUGGCCGUUCUUAGUUGGUGGAGUGAUUUGUCUGCUUAAUUGCGAUAACGAACGAGACCUUAACCUGCUAACUAGUCCGUAUUACCCCGGUAGUACGCCGACUUCUUAGAGGGACUAUCGGCUCAAGCCGAUGGAAGUUUGAGGC
rnacentral:rRNA from 1 species